UCGUGACUAUUUGCUCAAAAAUUCAAUGCUCCGAAUUGGUUACGCACAACUAGACUCCAAUGUCGUCCAGACUGAGUUUAUACUUCCUCAUCCGCGGCCUUCGGCAAGUAAUUGAAUUUAUUCUUAAUCUUGACGUAAAGAACUUGAGUGCUUAUCGAGAACAGUGAAAAAAGCCAACAACAAUAAUAACAAUAAUUAAUGUGCUGUUAUAGUUUUAAUGCCGAUUUACAUAAUCGGUUGUCUAUGUGCAUAAGAUUGUUUUUUUCUCCCGUUCACAUCACACCACAUUGCGUGUUUUUUUCUUCUCUUCUCUUCAGGCGUAUGCCCGAUCGACUCCAAUGUGUUUCACUAUCAAGAAGCCAACGCGUAGCCGAAGGAGAACGCAAGCCAUAAUAAUAUAUGGUUUGUUUGACUAUUAACUUGUCUUAUGCAAGCGCCAAUUAACUGGAUCCGAUUCUAGAGGGCUUCUAUGUGUGGAAUUAAAAUGGGGAAAAAUUGGUACUCAGAAAGUUGCUCAGCAGCAGACAAAUGGACACAGAAAGUGAAAUCUCACACUGGCAACUUUCGGCAAAUAAAAAGUGCGCCAUAUCUGAUCGCCCAUAUAUCAUUAGCGGGGACUAAAAAGGAAAAAAUCACAUAUAUAUGCAAAAUUCGGUGGGUCAUUCCAACUUUCACCGAAUUUUAAGCGGUUCCUACCAGCACUUCGAUGGCACCGAACGAACCAUUGUUCGCAGCAGGACUUUCACAUUUUUCCGACCGUUGUUGGAUGGCAGGAAGCAGAAACACAGCGCCAGUAAAUCCGAGAUAUUUAUUCAUAUUAUUUAAAUAAAAACAAGAACAUUUUCGGUAAAAAAAUGUACAACGUGGAAGAUACUAUACAAAACUCUAUUUCUUUGGAAAUAUAUUAAUUUUUACAGUUCUCUCUAUUUUCUUUACAUAUCUACACUUAGAGGCUACGUAAGGUUCAACUAAAUAAUACAAAAUAAAAUUAAAACAUACAACAACAACGACAUUGUUUUGUCACAGGUUUGUCGGCCGCAGUGCUCGCUUGCUUUGUGCCAUUUUCCAUUCGAUUCAAUAAAUAUAUUCGAGAGAAAAUCCAAAAAAAUCAAACAUAAUCAAGAAAAACUGUGUGCGCUUUCGCCAAGUUACAAGCGAGCACGCGGAGCCAUCUACUAAAAAAUACAUACAAAAUUAAUUUACUAAACAUUAAGAAGGUACUGUUCAUUGCAUCGGUUACAAAAAUAAAGUCGUAUUCAUUAAAUACACAUUUUGUUUCAAUCACAAUCAUUAUCUCGAACGGAAUCUAACGUAAUUUGAUAAUACCCGUUAGCGUUUCUACAGCUGAACAUUUCGACGACAGCCUGCCAGAAGUGGCCCGAAACAAGGCGAAAAAAACGACAAAACCCUAAAACUGUUCAAUUUACGGAAAUUGUGCUCAAAAGUGUGUCAGUGUUUUACUGGAAACGAGGAUAUUUACACAAGUUUAUACGCGAUAACGAUAUGAGAUAACGCCUAAGAUCCACGCAGUUUUUUUUUCGAUUUUCCACUUUAAAGGCGAGGCUGUAUAUUCGGGCCGCCCCAUUUUCCUUAUCGAUAGUGACGAACGUUAUCUCGAUUUCCCUAAGCCAGAUCAAGGAGGUUUCGGUGUUUUUUUGCCAAAAUGAAUUAGUCAGACCCUUAUAAGAAUAUGCGAAAAAAAUCAAAUUUUUCAUGUUUUUUUCACUCAGUCAGUGGAAGCAGUUGAACAGGCAAAAACAGUUGUACUUUUCGUCCCUACAGAAAAGGGCUGUCUUCAAAUGUACGCAUUUUUUUAUUUUAGAAUUGGGUGAGUUUUUGCGCCAAAAAUGAAUUGGUUGGACGCUCAUCAAGCCAGGAAAAUUAUAGUUAAAAAUUUCAAAAAUUAAGAACAAUAUUCCUGAUUUUCCUUGUUUUUUGCAAAGCAAUUGCCCUUUUCCGUCACUGGAAGCACAUUAACAGGCCAAAACAGUUUUUAAAUUUCUCUUAAAACUGUUAACUGAAACCCAAUAAACGUUCUUUGUUACAAGUCUUUAUUCCUUCAUUCUUUAUAACACGAAAGGGUUGUUUUCAAACGUCUACAUAAUCCUUCUUGUUAUAGAAAAAAUUUAAAAAGUUGGGAAAAAAAAUUAUUGAUUUUUCUUGUUUUUUGCAAAAAUUGCUCCUUUUCAGUCACUAGAAGCAGAUGAACCGACAGAAACAGUUUGUGCA